UACAGAGGUCCCGAGCGUUGUUCGGAUUCACUGGGCGUAAAGGGUGCGUAGGUGGUGCGGUAAGUCGGAUGUGAAAUCUCCGGGCUCAACCCGGAAGUGGCAUUGGAAACUACCUUGCUAGAGGAUUUGAGGGGGGAUUGGAAUACUUGGUGUAGCAGUGAAAUGCGUAGAUAUCAAGUGGAACACCAGUGGCGAAGGCGAAUCCCUGGAAAAUACCUGACACUGAGGCACGAAAGCUAGGGGAGCAAACAGG
rnacentral:rRNA from 1 species